UGUCUCCAUGGCGCAGUGGAUAGCGCGCUGGACUUCUAAUCCAGAGGCCGCGGGUUUUCGACCCCCGCUGGGAUAC
rnacentral:tRNA from 1 species